GACAAAGGUGCUGCACACAGGGCCAUGCCCAACCAGCAGGCUCUCAGAGGACUCUUGAGGUGGAAAUGAAAACAGGGUCCCACUCUGUGGCCUAAGCUGGAGUGCAGUGGCAGUAUCAGGGCCCGCUACAUCCUUGACCUCCUGGGCUCAAACAAUCUCUCAUCUCAGCCUCCCAAGUAGCUGGCACUAUAGGAAUGAGGCCAACGGCAAGAUCUGGAGAUGGAAGAAGCUCCUGAAGAUGUUGAAACCCCUGGUCCCAGCUGUUCUGUGGGCCAGCUGGAUUCCUGCCCUUCUAUAGCUGUAUUGCUCAAUCCUUUCCUGGGAUCUGGGAGAAAAUAAAUUUCAUUUUUGGCCCA
rnacentral:lncRNA from 1 species